UACGUAGGGUGCGAGCGUUAAUCGGAAUUACUGGGCGUAAAGUGUGCGCAGGCGGCCGAGCAAGUCGAGUGUGAAAGCCCCGAGCUUAACUCGGGAACUGCGCUCGAAACUACUUGGCUAGAGUGUGGCAGAGGGAGGUGGAAUUCCACGUGUAGCGGUGAAAUGCGUAGAGAUGUGGAGGAACACCGAUGGCGAAGGCAGCCUCCUGGGCCAACACUGACGCUCAUGCACGAAAGCGUGGGGAGCAAACAGG
rnacentral:rRNA from 1 species